rnacentral:rRNA from 1 species
UACAGAGGGGGCAAGCGUUGUUCGGAAUUACUGGGCGUAAAGGGCGCGUAGGCGGCCUUCUAAGUCGAACGUGAAAUCCCUGGGCUCAACCCAGGAACUGCGUCCGAUACUGGAAGGCUUGAAUCCGGGAGAGGGAUGCGGAAUUCCAGGUGUAGCGGUGAAAUGCGUAGAUAUCUGGAGGAACACCGGUGGCGAAGGCGGUAUCCUGGACCGGCAUUGACGCUGAGGCGCGAAAGCCAGGGGAGCAAACGGG